rnacentral:rRNA from 1 species
GACGAACGCUGGCGGCGUGCUUAACACAUGCAAGUCGAACGGAAAGGCCCUGCUUUGGUGGGGUGCUCGAGUGGCGAACGGGUGAGUAACACGUGAGUAACCUGCCCUUGACUUUGGGAUAACUUCAGGAAACUGGGGCUAAUACCGGAUAGGAGCUCCUGCUGCAUGGUGGGGGGUGGAGAGUUUCGGCGGUUGGGGAUGGGCUCGCGGCUUAUCAGCUUGUGUGUGGGGUAGUGGCCUACCAAGGCUUUGACGGGUAGCCGGCCUGAGAGGGUGAACGGCCACAUUGGGACUGAGAUACGGCCCAGACUCCUACGGGAGGCAGCAGUGGGGAAUAUUGCACAAUGGGCGCAAGCCUGAUGCAGCGACGCCGCGUGGGGGAUGACGGCCUUCGGGUUGUAAACACCUUUCGCUAGGGACGAAGCGCAAGGGACGGUACCUGGAGAAGAAGCACCGGCUAACUACGUG